GACAGAGGUCCCGAGCGUUAGGCGGAAUCACUGGGCUUAAAGCGUGUGUAGGCGGCGGCCUAAGUACCUUGUGAAAUCCCACGGCUCACCCGUGGAACUGCUCGGUAUACUGGGUCGCUUGAGCCACUUAGGGGCUACCGGAACAAAUGGUGGAGCGGUGAAAUGCGUAGAUAUCAUUUGGAACGCCAAUGGUGAAAAACAGGUAGCUGGGAGUGUGCUGACGCUGAGACACGAAAGCCAGGGGAGCAAACGGG
rnacentral:rRNA from 1 species